AGUGGUAGCAACUUGCAAGGAAUAUUUUAUAAGGACAAACACAAGUUGUUCUGUUCUUUGUCACCUUAUAUGUACCUCAAAACAAUUAAUUUUAAUUUAUAAAAUUGAACAAAUGUUGGGGACCAAGGAGUUGUAUUGGUAUGAGGUUUGCACUAAUGGAGGCUAAAGCAUGUUUAGUGAGUAUAUUGAGGAAGUAUAGGUUUGAAAGAUCACCUGAUACUCAGG